UGCAAACACUAUUGGACAGUGUCAUUGACGAAAGCUAAAGCAAAAGCAAAAGCAAAAUGGGGAUCUAAUGGACUUCAAAUUUUCCUUGCUAAUUGCACGCAAUGCAUGCAUCCAUGCCGCUACUUUUAUGAAGGAAAAACAUGCCUCUUGGAAGGGCUAUGAGAAAGAGGCAGGCAUCAUCCCUUGACAUUCUCCCUUCAAAGUGGGGGGUCACGAGAUUAGUACAAGGGAAAGAACUGCAAGCCAACUAGUUUCCAUACACGCAAAGGGCUAUGAGAAUGAGGGAGGCAUCAUCCCUUGACAUUCUCCCUUCAAAGUGGGGGGUCACGAGAUUAGUACAAGGGAAAGAACUGCAAGCCAACUAGUUUCCAUACACGCAAAGGACUUAUCUUUGGGGAAGAAGAUUGGCAGUGCUGAGAUUAAAUGGGGACUCUAUCAGACACCAAGACAUCAUUAUUCUUCUGCUUUUAGGUCACUUAUUCAAUCUUCCUCAUCUACUGUUUCAGAUUCAGAUUUAUUGUUAUGGCAUCCAAGUUUUGAUUAUCUUAGACUUUUGUAUUCUUA